rnacentral:rRNA from 1 species
AUACGGAGGAUCCGAGCGUUAUCCGGAUUUAUUGGGUUUAAAGGAUGCGCAGGCGGCCAUUUAAGUCAGCGGUUAAAUCGUGGGGCUCAACCCCAUUCUGCCGUUGAUACUGGGUGGCUUGAUUGCGGUCGAGGUUGGCGGAAUUCGUUGUGUAGCGGUGAAAUGCAUAGAUAUGACGAAGAACACCGAUUGCGUAGGCAGCUGACCAGACCGCAAAUGACGCUCAUGCACGAAAGUGCGGGGAUCGAACAGGAUUAGAUACCCUGGUAGUCCGCACAGUAAACGAUGAAUACUUGUUUUCGGCGAUAUAAUGUCGGAGGCAAAGCGAAAGCGAUAAGUAUUCCACCUGGGGAGUACGCCGGCAACGGUGAAACUCAAAUGAAUUGACGGGG